GGUCAAGCUGUAAAGGGCGCAAGGGGAAUGCCUUGGCACCAGGAGCCGAUGAAGGACGUGACAAGCUGCGAUAAGCUUGGGGGAGCGGCAAAUACGCAUUGAUCCCGAGAUUUCCGAAUGGGGAAACCCACAUGAGUGAAGCUCAUGUAUCUCAUACUGAAUCAAAUAGGUAUGAGAAGGGAACCGCCUGAACUGAAACAUCUAAGUAGGGCGAGGAAAAGACAUCAAAAGAGAUUCCGCUAGUAGUGGCGAGCGAACGCGGAAGAGGCCAAACCGAUCGAAGCAAUUUGGUCGGGGUAAGGACUGC
rnacentral:rRNA from 1 species